rnacentral:rRNA from 1 species
AGAGUUUGAUCCUGGCUCAGAACGAACGCUGGCGGCAGGCCUAACACAUGCAAGUCGAACGAAGGCCCGGAGCUUGCUCCGGAUACCUUAGUGGCGGACGGGUGAGGAACACGUGGGAACCUGCCCUUCAGUACGGGAUAACGCCGGGAAACUGGUGCUAAUACCGAAUACGCCCUACGGGGGAAAGAUUUAUCGCUGAAGGAUGGGCCCGCGCCGGAUUAGCUAGUUGGUGAGGUAACGGCUCACCAAGGCAACGAUCCGUAGCUGGUUUGAGAGGAUGAUCAGCCACACUGGGACUGAGACACGGCCCAGACUCCUACGGGAGGCAGCAGUGGGGAAUAUUGGACAAUGGGGGCAACCCUGAUCCAGCCAUGCCGCGUGAGUGAUGGAGGCCUUAGGGUUGUAAAGCUCUUUCAGCGGGGAAGAUGAUGACGGUACCCGCAGAAGAAGCCCCGGCUAACUCCGUGCCAGCAGCCGCGGUAAUACGGAGGGGGCAAGCGUUGUUCGGAAUUACUGGGCGUAAAGCGCGCGUAGGCGGUUUGUUUAGUUAGGCGUGAAAGCCCUGGGCUCAACCCAGGAACUGCGUUUGAUACUGGCAGACUAGAGUCCGGGAGAGGAGAGUGGAAUUCCCAGUGUAGAGGUGAAAUUCGUAGAUAUUGGGAAGAACACCAGUGGCGAA